UACGUAGGGCGCGAGCGUUGUCCGGAAUUAUUGGGCGUAAAGAGCUCGUAGGCGGCCUGUUGCGUCCGCUGUGAAAUCCCGGGGCUCAACCCCGGGCCUGCAGUGGAUACGGGCUGGCUAGAGGCAGGCAGGGGAGAACGGAAUUCCUGGUGUAGCGGUGAAAUGCGCAGAUAUCAGGAGGAACACCGGUGGCGAAGGCGGUUCUCUGGGCCUGUACUGACGCUGAGGAGCGAAAGCGUGGGGAGCAAACAGG
rnacentral:rRNA from 1 species